UUAACAUGUGAUAACAGCUAUACACAGUCCCGAUUUUGACAGCAAUAGACAGACUCACCUGGCAUGGAACAAGACAACAUCAGGUGGCUCUGUUUGAGUCAUGUGGUCUUAAGAAGCUACAUGGCCCCUGGCUGUGUGUACCCCACACGCAAUGGACUGCAGCUGGGAACACAAACAUCUACAUGCAGGAUGCUGGACUGACUGUAUUUUAAUAUGGAGCAAAAACUGUGAGCCUUGGACUUUAUUCUGUCCCUGAUGAAGAUACAGCUGGACUUAUUCCAUGAUUCGCAUACUGCAAAGGCAUCUACUAUGCUCCUGGUUCCAGAAAUGUACUGACCUGCUUCUGAGGAAAACUGUCUUGCACAAAGUCCUGCAGCAUUGCAGCAACUCUAGGAUUACAGAUAACUGUUGCAGACUAAUUUGUUAACUUGAAAGUAUGGUAAAAUAUCAGAUACUUCAGAGUUCUACACAACAUUUGGUGCUUUCUAAAACUUCACUGAAAGUUAAUUCAAG